rnacentral:rRNA from 1 species
GAUGAACGCUAGCUACAGGCUUAACACAUGCAAGUCGAGGGGCAGCAUGGUCUUAGCUUGCUAAGGCCGAUGGCGACCGGCGCACGGGUGAGUAACACGUAUCCAACCUGCCGUCUACUCUUGGACAGCCUUCUGAAAGGAAGAUUAAUACAAAAUGGCAUCAUGAGUCCGCAUGUUCGCAUGAUUAAAGUUAUUCCGGUAGACGAUGGGGAUGCGUUCCAUUUGAUAGUAGGCGGGGUAACGGCCCAGCUAGUCUUCGAUGGGUAGCGGUUCUGUGAGGGAGGUCCCCCAGAUUUGAACUGAGACACAGACCAAAACCGUACGGGACGGAGCAGUGAGUAAUACUGGGCAAGGGGCGCUGGCCUGAAACAGCCAAGUAGCGUGAAGGAUGACUGCCCUAUGGGUUGUAAACUUCUUUUAGAAAGGAAUAAAGUCGGGUAUGUAUACCCGUUUGAAGGUACUUUAUGAAUAAGGAUCGGCUAACUACGUG